rfam:Leucobacter sp. Ag1 JX03_contig_70, whole genome shotgun sequence.
CAAGGCCCCCCACGUGGCGGUAUCUCGACGAACUCCCCCAGGACGGAAACGGAGCAAGGGUAGUCGGGCUCUACCGGGUGCGUGGGGGGUCUUUUGC